GUAUUACUCCCUCCGUCCGAAAAUACUUGUCAUCAAAAUGGAUAAAAAGAGAUGUAUCUAGAACUAAAAUAUAUCUAGAUACAUCUCCUUUUAUUCAUUUUGAUGACAAGUAUUUUCGGACGGAGGGAGUACCAA
rnacentral:pre_miRNA from 1 species